UGGGGAAUUUUGGGCAAUGGAGGGAACUCUGACCCAGCCAUGCCGCGUGCAGGAUGAAGGCGUUAUGCGUUGUAAACUGCUUUUAUAUAGGAAGAAAUAGUCCUUGCGAGGAAAGUUGACGGUACUAUAUGAAUAAGCACCGGCUAACUCCGUGCCAGCAGCCGCGGUAAUACGGAGGGUGCAAGCGUUGUCCGGAUUUAUUGGGUUUAAAGGGUGCGUAGGCGGUUUAUUAAGUCAGUGGUGAAAGACGGUCGCUCAACGAUUGCAGUGCCAUUGAUACUGGUAGACUUGAGUAUGAUUGAGGUAGCUGGAAUGGAUAGUGUAGCGGUGAAAUGCAUAGAUAUUAUCCAGAACACCAAUUGCGUAGGCAAGUUACUAAGUCAUAACUGACGCUGAGGCACGAAAGUGUGGGUAUCAAACAGGAUUAGAUACCCUUGUAGUCCCUGAGCGGGCUGGCAAGGCGCAU
rnacentral:rRNA from 1 species